UCCCGCUUAGCUCAGUUGGUAGAGCGCGUCACUAGUAUUCACGUGAACAUGUUUAUGUAAUAAUGACGAGGUCAGUCGUUCGAGUCGCCUAGAGGGAA